UUUCUUUCAGAAUAUAUUGAUCUAACGUCAAAAACUUCUCCAGAAUUUCUGUAUGAAACGUCAAUUGUUAAAAAAUCAGUUCAGUAUGAGAUAAGUAUGUGUAAACCAUGCAUACAAGAAGAAGAGAGUGAAGAGGUUGUUGAUCAUAGCAGGGAGUGAUAAAAACACAUUUACUUAUCAAUCAUCAUCAUGAGAUCUAUCUUUUUAUCUAAUCUAUUGUAUCAUCAGUGGGUUUGUAAGAGAGAGAGCUGUUGAAAUCGAAUUAUAUUUAAAAUUCUCUACAUUUUUUUAAAGGUAUAAUGAAAGAUGCUGAAUUAACAUCUACAAGGAGAAUGUAUAAAGAGUUGCCUUUGUUUGAAAAUUUUAUUUUUCUAUUAAGAUGUGUAAAUAAAUUUAAUCUAAAAUUGUGUUAGAAA